rnacentral:lncRNA from 1 species
AAGACUGCUUAAAGCUUUGUGCCAGGGACCAGGAGCUUUCUGCAAGGAAACGAACCUCUGCUCUGUAAGAGUCCAGUUUCACAUGGACUGAACAACACCAGGAGAUAAGGACCCCCACAGACCUUCUCACAUUCUGCUGGAGGUGCAAGGUCCCAAGCCCAGAUUUCCCACCAGUCUGGAGUAACGUUUGGAGGAGCCUGGCAGCAUGGUUCUUCUAGUAGCUCCCAAGGAUAUUGAGGAUCAUAGGAUGUAUGGACCCCCCCAAACCCUCUGGAGAAUGUUGGCUGCAGAUAAGAGCAUCUGGAAGUUCCUGCCAUCUUUUUAUCCUGCUUUUUCCUGGGUCGCCCCAUGUCAUUUGGGAAGGAAGCCUUUCUUGGCCUGAUGAUUAUAGCAAACUUGUCACUUGCUGGAAUACCUCCUCUUGCGUUUUCUCAAGAUGGAGCCAUUGCUUUACCCAGCAGAAGGAUAUUUUUUUCUUCUCCCAGGGCUUUUCCAGUGCAGCAACGCUUAUGGCCAACAGGUUGGGAAGAAGCAGUGACCCGUCACAAGAGGUGUCUUUGCUGAAGCCGCCAAAGCAAGAGUAUCUGCUCGCCUCCCGAAUCCUUUGCCUUGCUUUGAGGGGCUCUGCAGAGCCGAAGAGGGAAUCUGGAUGUGUGUAUCUAGAGAGCACAGAUGGAGUUUGGCCAGAGAGACCCUGCCUUUCAGUUAAACGUGUGUUUAUUCUCACAGUGUUUGCUUCCCGGAGGUGUUGCAGUGAUUGCACUGUUGAUCCUUCUGCAAAGGCUCGACAGCGCUGCCGGAGAGCUUUGACACUGCAAAGCAUUGUUUACUUGUGAAAGCAUUAUUCUAUUUUGAAUAUCUAUUAUUCAUCUCUUGUGCUAAAAGUGACAUUAUAUCAUGAAAUUGCUCUUAGAUUUCAGAGCUUUGAGGAAAAGCUGUUUUUUGUCCCUGGCUCCGUGUGACAGUGCUGGGAAGUGCUUUACCCUUUGUAUCUGUAGUCCUCUUUUAUGAAUUGUGAGUGAUGGCAGGAAAGUAUAAAAGAGCGCAGAGGAGCUGGUUUUGAUGUUCAUAAAAGACUUUGAUAAAAGAUGCAGCACAUAGACUUCAUAUUAUUUCCUAUUUUUAACUUCUUAAGAGCAUAAAGCGCUCAGAUCCAAUAUUUAUGUAAAAGGGGAAAGGGGGGGGCUGUAUUUCUUUUUUUUUCCUUCUUUUUUUUGUCUUUUUUAGGACCAGGUGAAUUAAAAUAGAAAAAUGUCUCUCUUUGCCCCAGUAAAAUUUUGUUUUCUUCCGUGAAGCAUUUAUGUCUGUCUUCCAUGAAGCUGACCCGAUGGUGUUAAUGGUAUGGAUGGUGCUGAAGGAGACCACCUGUGGUUUCGAAGUCUCCUUGGUUGCAGGCUUGUGCCCUCAAGCGCCCGGUUACGGCUGGCUC